UGUGUGCUCUUCCGAUCACUUGAGUCCAGGAGUUCUGGGCUGCAGUGCGCUAUGCCGAUCGGGUGUCCGCACUAAGUUCGGCAUCAAUAUGGUGACCUCCCGGGAGCGGGGGACCACCAGGUUGCCUAAGGAGGGGUGAACCAGCCCAGGCCCGAGAGCGGAAGAGC